AUAUUGCACAAUGGGCGCAAGCCUGAUGCAGCCAUGCCGCGUGUAUGAAGAAGGCCUUCGGGUUGUAAAGUACUUUCAGCGAGGAGGAAGGUGUUGUGGUUAAUAACUACAGCAAUUGACGUUACUCGCAGAAGAAGCACCGGCGAACUCCGUGCCAGCAGCCGCGGUAAUACGGAGGGUGCAAGCGUUAAUCGGAAUUACUGGGCGUAAAGCGCACGCAGGCGGUCUGUCAAGUCGGAUGUGAAAUCCCCGGGCUCAACCUGGGAACUGCAUCCGAAACUGGCAGGCUAGAGUCUUGUAGAGGGGGGUAGAAUUCCAGGUGUAGCGGUGAAAUGCGUAGAGAUCUGGAGGAAUACCGGUGGCGAAGGCGGCCCCCUGGACAAAGACUGACGCUCAGGUGCGAAAGCGUGGGGAGCAAACAGG
rnacentral:rRNA from 1 species